UGGGGGAUAUUGCACAAUGGGGGGAAACCCUGAUGCAGCGACGCCGCGUGAGGGAAGACGGUCCUCUGGAUUGUAAACCUCUGUCUUCGGGGACGAAAGAAGACGGUACCCGAGGAGGAAGCCACGGCUAACUACGUGCCAGCAGCCGCGGUAAUACGUAGGUGGCAAGCGUUGUCCGGAAUUACUGGGUGUAAAGGGAGCGCAGGCGGGAUAGCAAGUCAGCUGUGAAAACUAUGGGCUCAACCCAUAAACUGCAGUUGAAACUGUUAUUCUUGAGUGGAGUAGAGGCAAGCGGAAUUCCGAGUGUAGCGGUGAAAUGCGUAGAUAUUCGGAGGAACACCAGUGGCGAAGGCGGCUUGCUGGGCUCUAACUGACGCUGAGGCUCGAAAGUGUGGGGAGCAAACAGGAUUAGAUACCCUGGUAGU
rnacentral:rRNA from 1 species